UGCUUGGCGACCAUAGCGUUUUGGACCCACCUGAAUCCAUUCCGAACUCAGAAGUGAAACGAAAUAGCGUCGAUGGUAGUGUGGGGUUUCCCCAUGUGAGAGUAGAACAUCGCCAGGC
rnacentral:rRNA from 1 species